UACGUAGGGUGCGAGCGUUAAUCGGAAUUACUGGGCGUAAAGCGUGCGCAGGCGGUUUGAUAAGACAGGCGUGAAAUCCCCGAGCUUAACUUGGGAAUGGCGCUUGUGACUGUCAGGCUAGAGUGCGUCAGAGGGGGGGUAGAAUUCCACGUGUAGCAGUGAAAUGCGUAGAGAUGUGGAGGAACACCGAUGGCGAAGGCAGCCCCCCUGGGCUAACACUGACGCUCAUGCACGAAAGCGUGGGGAGCAAACAGG
rnacentral:rRNA from 1 species